GUUAGAACACCGGUUCCUGUACGAUCACCGAAGUUAAGCAAUGUCAAUACGUGUCAGUAGCAAGAUGGGUGACCGCAUGGGAAUAUGGUAUGCUGUAAG